GAUGAACGCUGGCGGCGUGCCUAAUACAUGCAAGUCGAGCGAAGCGGGGACGGGUGAGUAACACGUGGAUAACCUCCUUUAAGACUGGGAUAACUUCGGGAAACCGGAGCUAAACCGGAUAAUUAUAGAUGGAUCCGCGCUGCAUUAGCUAGUUGGGAAGGUAACGGCUUACCAGGGCAACGAUGCAUAGCCGACCUGAGAGGGUGAUCGGCCACACUGGAACGGCGACACGGUCCAGACUCCUACGGGAGGCACCAGUGGGGAAUCUUCCGCAAUGGGCGAAAGCCUGACGUAGCAACUCCGCGUGGAUGAUGAAGUUCUUCGGAUCGUAAAACUCUGUUAUUAGGGAAGCGGUACCUGAACAGAAAGCCACGGCUAACUACGUGCCAGCAGCCGCGGUAAUUC
rnacentral:rRNA from 1 species